GAGAGCCGGAUGCGCUGAAAGGUGCAAGUCCGGUUCGGAGAGGGGGGUGGGGAAACGUGCUCAUCGAAAGGUGAGUAACGCGCUCUGCCCCUACUCUAC
rnacentral:ncRNA from 1 species